GAUGAACGCUGGCGGCGUGCCUAAUACAUGCAAGUCGAGCGAACGGACGAGAAGCUUGCUUCUCUGAUGUUAGCGGCGGACGGGUGAGUAACACGUGGAUAACCUACCUAUAAGACUGGGAUAACUUCGGGAAACCGGAGCUAAUACCGGAUAAUAUUUUGAACCGCAUGGUUCAAAAGUGAAAGACGGUCCUGCUGUCACUUAUAGAUGGAUCCGCGCUGCAUUAGCUAGUUGGUAAGGUAACGGCUUACCAAGGCAACGAUGCAUAGCCGACCUGAGAGGGUGAUCGGCCACACUGGAACUGAGACACGGUCCAGACUCCUACGGGAGGCAGCAGUAGGGAAUCUUCCGCAAUGGGCGAAAGCCUGACGGAGCAACGCCGCGUGAGUGAUGAAGGUCUUCGGAUCGUAAAACUCUGUUAUUAGGGAAGAACAUAUGUGUAAGUAACUGUGCACAUCUGGACUGUACCGAAUCAGAAAGCCACGGCUAACUACGU
rnacentral:rRNA from 1 species